ACCCGGCUGGCUCAGUUGAAGAGCAUGAGAUUCUUGAUCUUGGGUUUGUGAGUUCGAGCCCCACGUUGGGUG
rnacentral:tRNA from 1 species